AGGUUUGGUCCUAGCCUUCCUAUUAAUUAUUAACAGAAUUACACAUGCAAGCCUCCCCACCCCGGUGAAAAUGCCCUCUAAAUCUACAUA
rnacentral:rRNA from 1 species